GGCGGUGUAAAGGCGGCGGACGGGCCGGAGGGAGGAUGUUAAAGCCCCGCGAUCAGCCAAAAUGGGAAGUACUGGAUUCUGCUCUCCUCCAAGAAGAGUCAGUGGGACUGGUUAAGAUCAGUAUCUGAGGAUUUUACCAGCAAUCAUCAGUCCCCUUUUGCUUUCUUUUACGACCACAUGAAACUUGAGAAGCCAUCUAAAGCUAAAUCAUUUAGUGGAGUUGGGCAGUUCCCAAGUGUCCAACAAGAAGGC
rnacentral:lncRNA from 1 species